AAAAGCAAGCAAGUGGCGUAUAGGUAAAAGUUUAUAUUAAUUUGUGAAAAACAAUUACUCUUACUGUUUUAAAACAGUCUAAUAUAACUAAUUUAUUAUAACUGGAUUUUUAGAAUAAUAUUAAAUAUUAUUUUUCAAAAUGCAUUAAUAGUAUCUGUAUCCAUGUCGAUUUAAUAUAUUUCAUUUUAUAUUAAUGGUAUAAAAGAAAGAAUACAUCAACAUAAUAAAAGAAUGAAAUUUUUUCAAAAUUAGGUGUUGGGCUGGAGAAUAAAAAUCUUCAGCGUGAAGUAGAAGAAAAGAAGAAGAAACAAUGAAGAUCUUUGGCAAAACCGUGUAUCCAAGACAAAUUAUACUCUUCGCCUCUGGGUUACUAUUCUUGGCAUCAACAACUUAUGAUGUGCAUAGAUCAAUCAAGAACAAUCAAACACCACCUUCUGAGGAACAGCUCAAAGCUCUUGAAGACUACAUCAAAUCGGUUCGUCGUUCACCUUAAUAUUUGUGGCACAUGUUCCGCCACGUCACUCCUAUCUCCACACAACAACUACACUUAAAUAAAAUUUCAUAACAAAUAAAGUUAUUUUUAUCUUAUUAAUGUAAAAUUAGUUAUUUUAGUUUAAUUAAUAUUAUGUGUAUGAAUCUCUCAUGUCACUAAUAGUAUUUUAGUUUCUGAGUUAA